rnacentral:lncRNA from 1 species
GUCACGUUCUUCUCUAAUAUCUGAGUUUAUGUGUCUUUUAUGUUGACAAGACCAGAAACUCACUGAAAGCAAAAAUUCUUGUUUCCACGUCUAUGUUCAGUCCACAGCAGCAUUUGUCCAGAAAUCCAGGACGCUUCGAGAAGGUGAAGCAGCUCAUCCAUCGGAAACUUGGUCCCCCAUUUGGAAUUUGCUUUCCGUGUUUGGAGGAAACAAUAUGGUGCCUGAGCAACCGUGCAACAUAGCAUUAUCGUCCCCAGAUUCCUCAAGAGGAAAUGGAGUCUCAGAAAACUGACGUGACUCGACCAACAUCCCUUAACUAGGAUUUGUACUGAGUUCUGUACGGGCUUCAGUAAUUAUGUUCCUUCUACUUUCUUGCACUGCCUUUAGCCCUGCCAUUUAUCUCUAGAAUCUGGGAAUAAAAGACAGGUGCCAGCUAGGCUAUAUACUGCAUAUAGGGUAAAAUAAACUGAAGGUUCCCCAGGCCAGCGAGGGGAGGGGUGAGAAGGUGGCCAAAAAAAGUGUGGCAGAGAAAGGGCCAAGGGGAGAUAAGAAAUGUCAAAAAAUACCAAAACCAACUUCAGAGUAGCUGUCUAUGGAUAGGCAUGUAAACUCCCCUCACUGUCACCUCUGUGGACUCCAGUAAAUUCUGCUUCGCUCUUGACAUUUGUGUUCCGUGUUUACUUGGUGGUGGAGCAGGGGUUCAGGUCUAAGAGGAGAAGGAAGAGAUGAUAGGCAUUUGUAUUACACUUGGUUUUAGAAGAGUGACUGAUCUAAGAUAAAUAAAUAAAUGAAAGAGUAGAUGAGAUAGGGAGUCGAGGUGGGCUGGUCCAGAAUGAGGAAGGAGGGCAUGUGAG